rnacentral:rRNA from 1 species
CCUACGGGUGGCAGCAGUGGGGGAUAUUGCACAAUGGGGGCAACCCUGAUGCAGCGACGCCGCGUGAGCGAUGGAGUACUUCGGUAUGUAAAGCUCUGUCAGCAGGGAAGAGAAUGACGGUACCUGACCAAGAAGCCCCGGCUAAAUACGUGCCAGCAGCCGCGGUAAUACGUAUGGGGCAAGCGUUAUCCGGAUUUACUGGGUGGAAAGGGAGCGUAGGCGGCAGGGCAAGCCUGAUGUGAAAGCCCGGGGCUCAACCCCGGGACUGCAUUGGGAACUGCCCCGCUCGAGUGCCGGAGGGGCAGGCGGAAUUCCUAGUGUAGCGGUGAAAUGCGUAGAUAUUAGGAGGAACACCAGUUGCGAAGGCGGCUCUCUGGACUGUAACUGACACUGAGGCACGAAAGCGUGGGGAGCAAACAGGAUUAGAUACCCUGGUAGUC